CCAGUGUAAAUGACACGAACUGUCUCCUCAGUAAGAAGAAAACACUUGUAGUACAAACUGGAUCCGUGGAAUCGGGAGGCCGUAAUGGUUCACUUGCUGUAGAUGACGGUGUAACAGGAGACGGAAUCUGGUGGGCCUAUUCUGUAAAACGGGCUUGGAGCGUCACAUUUUUUAACCCAUGAAAAUCCCCAUAGCAAGUGUAAGAUCGCCGUGUGCAGCUCUGGUUUUCUGACAAUUAAGGCCGUAUUGGGGACGCGAGCACCAGGAAGGUGAGAGAUAUCAGUUUACAGAAAACAGUCCCAGGCAAGAUUCCCUCCAAAGAGGCCCAGCGAGGCCUAGCUGCCUGAAAUACAAUCUGACAGGGCCCUCCUACAGAAGAGACUGGUAAUUAUGGCUUGUCUGGCUAAUAAGGAUGAGAGCAGAGAGCCUGACAGGUGAGGAGGAAAGCCUGGGAAGAAAUGUUUGUGGUUUAAGGGUCUGUCGUGUUGCGGCAGCAGAUUCUGCCCACAGCGGGAGUGUGAACAAGGGCCUAAAACAAGCCUGGCUCUGAUUGCACCACCAUUCAGGCUCAAAUCACAAAACAAGGUUGCUUCUGUCCUAUUGUGAUGUAAAACUUCAGUGUUAAAAGCUGAUUAGGGACCGACCUCCUCAUCAUAUUAUAUCCAUGACUAAUCCUACAAUUUCACCCCCUCCUCCUCUCCGCCUAAUGUCGUAGACAACAAAGUGCUAUCAAAACCC